rnacentral:rRNA from 1 species
GAUGAACGCUAGCGGCAGGCUUAAUACAUGCAAGUCGUGGGGCAGCAUGAAUGUAGCAAUACAUUUGAUGGCGACCGGCAAACGGGUGCGGAACACGCACACAACCUUCCUAUAAGUGGGGAAUAGCCCAGAGAAAUUUGGAUUAAUACCCCGUAACAUAAUGAUAUGGCAUCAUAUUAUUAUUAUAGCUUCGGCGCUUAUUGAUGGGUGUGCGGCUGAUUAGAUAGUUGGCGGGGUAACGGCCCACCAAGUCUACGAUCAGUAGCUGAUGUGAGAGCAUGAUCAGCCACACGGGCACUGAGACACGGGCCCGACUCCUACGGGAGGCAGCAGUAAGGAAUAUUGGUCAAUGGACGCAAGUCUGUACCAGCCAUGCCGCGUGGAGGAUUAAGGUCCUCUGGAUUGUAAACUUCUUUUAUCUGGGACGAAAAAAGGCUUUUCUAAGUCACUUGACGGUACCAGAUGAAUAAGCACCGGCUAACUCCGUGCCAGCCGCCGCCGUAA